AGCAGCCGCGGUAAUCCCAGCUCCAAUAGCGUAUAUUAAAGUUGUUGCAGUUAAAAAGCUCGUAGUUGAAUUUCGGGAUUGACGUGAUGGUCGUGCCUUACGGGGUAUGAACUGUUGCAGUCAAUUUCUCACCUUCUGGAGAAAUAUGAUGUCCUUAAUUGGGUGUCAUAUGGAACCAGAACUUUUACCUUGAAAAAAUUAGAGUGUUUAAAGCAGGCUUAUUGCUCGAAUACAUUAGCAUGGAAUAAUAAAAUAGGACGGCAUGGUUCUAUUUUGUUGGUUUCUAGGAUCACCGUAAUGAUUAAUAGGGAUAGUUGGGGGCAUUAGUAUUCAAUUGUCAGAGGUGAAAUUCUUGGAUUUAUUGAAGACUAACUACUGCGAAAGCAUUUGCCAAGGAUGUUUUCAUUAAUCAAGAACGAAAGUUAGGGGAUCGAAGACGAUCAGAUACCGUCGUAGUCUUAACCAUAAACUAUGCCGACUAGGAAUCAGACGAUGUUAAUUUUUUAAUGACUCGUUUGGC
rnacentral:misc_RNA from 1 species